UACGUAGGGUGCAAGCGUUGUCCGGAAUUAUUGGGCGUAAAGAGCUCGUAGGCGGUUUGUCGCGUCUGCCGUGAAAACCCGAGGCUCAACCUCGGGCCUGCAGUGGGUACGGGCAAACUAGAGUGCGGUAGGGGAGAAUGGAAUUCCUGGUGUAGCGGUGGAAUGCGCAGAUAUCAGGAGGAACACCGAUGGCGAAGGCAGUUCUCUGGGCCGUAACUGACGCUGAGGAGCGAAAGCGUGGGGAGCGAACAGG
rnacentral:rRNA from 1 species